rnacentral:rRNA from 1 species
GACGAACGCUGGCGGCGUGCUUAACACAUGCAAGUCGAACGGAAAGGCCCUGCUUGCAGGGUACUCGAGUGGCGAACGGGUGAGUAACACGUGGGUGAUCUGCCCUGCACUUCGGGAUAAGCCUGGGAAACUGGGUCUAAUACCGGCUAGGAGCCAUUUUUAGUGUGAUGGUUGGAAAGUUUUUUCGGUGUAGGAUGAGCUCGCGGCCUAUCAGCUUGUUGGUGGGGUAAUGGCCUACCAAGGCGGCGACGGGUAGCCGGCCUGAGAGGGUGGACGGCCACAUUGGGACUGAGAUACGGCCCAGACUCCUACGGGAGGCAGCGGUGGGGAAUAUUGCACAAUGGGCGCAAGCCUGAUGCAGCGACGCCGCGUGGGGGAUGACGGGCUUCGGGUUGUAAACUCCUUUCGCUAGGGACGAAGCUGUUUGUGACGGUACCUAGAUAAGAAGCACCGGCUAACUACGUG